rnacentral:tRNA from 3 species
GGCGGUGUGCCCGAGUGGCCAAUGGGAACGGACUGUAAAUCCGUCGGCUCUGCCUACCCAGGUUCGAAUCCUGGCGCCGCCAC